rnacentral:ncRNA from 18 species
UCAAAAAGAAGCGGGGAGCUGGCGCACGCCGGCUGAGAUAAGAUCCAUUGCGAUUUUGACCCGGAGCAGACUCUGCUCAUACCUGAUCUGGAUAAUGCCAGCGUAGGAAUCAUGUCAUCUCAUGUC